CUACGGAGGAUGCAAGCGUUAUCCGGAUUUAUUGGGUUUAAAGGGUGCGUAGGCGGGACUGUAAGUCAGGGGUGAAAUACUGCAGCUUAACUGUAGCAUUGCCUUUGAAACUGCCGUUCUUGAGUACAGUUGAGGUAGGCGGAAUGUGGUGUGUAGCGGUGAAAUGCAUAGAUAUACCACAGAACGCCGAUUGCGAAGGCAGCUUACUAAGCUGUUACUGACGCUGAGGCACGAAAGCGUGGGGAUCAAACAGGAUUAGAUACCCUGGUAGUCCACGCUGUAAACGAUGAUUACUGGUUGUUAGCGAUAUAUAGCUAGUGACUGAGCGAAAGCAUUAAGUAAUCCACCUGGGGAGUACGUCGGCAACGAUGAAACUCAAAUGAAUUGGCGGGG
rnacentral:rRNA from 1 species